CAGACAUCCUAAAUGUCCCAGGCUUUUCUCCCUUAGGCCGCCGCCCUGUUUUUCAGUGUGAAGAGCCCCAACUUCUCCCGAUUCACCAGGCCUUUUCCCCCUGGCAUCUCUACGUACAGGACCUGCAAGGAGUCUGUGAAACCCUUCUAGCUGAAGCCCCCAGCCCCGCUCCCCGUGUGUCUUCCCUGGGUUCCACAGUGCACCCAGGCCCCCAGCGUGACCUCUGCAGGCUGUGGGAGGUCAUCACUCCCGUCACUUGGCUGAUACUGGGGCUGGUUCCGGGUGACGUGGGUCUCACCAGAGAGCACGCGGGGAUUGGAGUGAUGGGGACGAGACAUCCCUGCGCGUCGGCCUCGCUCAGACCCUCCUGAAACCUCUAGGUGAGCACGGACACUGGGGGGUCGAGCCCUCCGAGAGAACAGGACUCCCUUUGUCACGGCUCCGGUGAGUUCCCAGGACAACUGUCUCCCUGCACGUCCUCCCUCCGUGGACCAAGCCGGCAGAGACCGUGCGAGCGGCUGUACGUGUGCAGGUGUCCAGCGGGGACAGAGUGUCGCCUGCCCCUGAUGCCCGGGUCACAGGAGCCACUCGCCCAGUGCUGAGGGGACCCCGGAGCCAAGCUGGACGUCCGCCUGCCUCGCUCACCCCGCUGGGCACAUCCCCCAAGCCCGCACCCGUCCUGAUCCCUCCCGCCCAGCCCCGCACUCCUUACUGGCAACACACAGGACAACCGACAGAAAUAAAGGUGUCAGCAUUA